rnacentral:misc_RNA from 1 species
AUGAUUGGCCCAACGGCCUUAUCAAUAUUAAUCCCAACACCCCUGUGAACCGUUUUCGGCCCUCGGGCUGAUCCUUUUUACCAUACAAACAUUGUGUAAUGAACGUCUUGUUAUCUUAACAAAACA